rnacentral:rRNA from 1 species
UAACCCUACGGGGCGCAGCAGUGAGGAAUAUUGGUCAAUGGCCGGAAGGCUGAACCAGCCAAGCCGCGUGAAGGACGAAGGUGCCAAGCAUUGUAAACUUCUUUUGUCAAGGGACAAAAUCAGGCUCGAGAGCCUGACCGAGGGUACUUGAAGAAAAAGCAUCGGCUAACUCCGUGCCAGCAGCCGCGGUAAUACGGAGGUCUCAAGCGUUGUUCGGAAUCACUGGGCGUAAAGCGUGCGUAGGCUGUUUCGUAAGUCGUGUGUGAAAGGCGCGGGCUCAACCCGCGGACGGCACAUGAUACUGC